rnacentral:rRNA from 1 species
AGUCGAGGGGCAUCAGGAAGAAGCUUGCUUUCUUUGCUGGCGACCGGCGCACGGGUGAGUAACACGUAUCCAACCUGCCCUUUACUCGGGGAUAGCCUUUCGAAAGAAAGAUUAAUACCCGAUGGCAUAAUGAUUCCGCAUGGUUUCAUUAUUAAAGGAUUCCGGUAAAGGAUGGGGAUGCGUUCCAUUAGGUUGUUGGUGAGGUAACGGCUCACCAAGCCUUCGAUGGAUAGGGGUUCUGAGAGGAAGGUCCCCCACAUUGGAACUGAGACACGGUCCAAACUCCUACGGGAGGCAGCAGUGAGGAAUAUUGGUCAAUGGGCGCUAGCCUGAACCAGCCAAGUAGCGUGAAGGAUGAAGGCUCUAUGGGUCGUAAACUUCUUUUAUAUAAGAAUAAAGUGCAGUAUGUAUACUGUUUUGUAUGUAUUAUAUGAAUAAGGAUCGGCUAACUCCGUGCCAGCAGCCGCGGUAAUACGGAGGAUCCGAGCGUUAUCCGGAUUUAUUGGGUUUAAAGGGAGCGUAGGUGGACUGGUAAGUCAGUUGUGAAAGUUUGCGGCUCAACCGUAAAAUUGCAGUUGAUACUGUCAGUCUUGAGUACAGUAGAGGUGGGCGGAAUUCGUGGUGUAGCGGUGAAAUGCUUAGAUAUCACGAAGAACUCCGAUUGCGAAGGCAGCUCACUGGACUGCAACUGACACUGAUGCUCGAAAGUGUGGGUAUCAAACAGGAUUAGAUACCCUGGUAGUC